AUAAAUUGGUGCAGAGAGCAUGCUAGAGUUUGAGUCUGGAGGAAGGGGCAGUGCCUUAUUUAU
rnacentral:tRNA from 1 species